GCCUGGCUAGCUCAAUCGGUAGAUCGUGAGACUCUUAAUCGUCUUCCGGUCUCUGACAUGGUGAACAGUGGUCAUUUUAAGGUGGGUUCGACCCCCACGCCGGGCU